UGUCGAAACGGAUAAAAAGAUUGAACCAGGGACCUUUAGAUCUUCAGUCUAACGCUCUCCAAACCGAACUAUUUCGGC